rnacentral:rRNA from 1 species
CUGGCGGUUGCUUACACAUGCAGUCGUACGAGAGUUUUAACUCAAGUGGCGGACGGGUGAGUACACGUAAGAAUUUGCCUUUAGGAGGGGGAUAACAACUGGAAACGGUUGCUAAUACCCCAUAUGCUUUCGAGUGAAACGGAUUUUCCGCCUAAAGAGAAGCUUGCGGCUGAUUAGCUUGUUGGUGAGGUAAGGGCUCACCAAGGCGACGAUCAGUAUCUGGUUUGAGAGGACGAUCAGACACACUGGAACUGAGACACGGUCCAGACUCCUACGGGAGGCAGCAGUGGGGAAUUUUCCGCAAUGGGCGAAAGCCUGACGGAGCAAUACCGCGUGAGGGAUGAAUGCCUAUGGGUUGUAAACCUCUUUUUUCAGGGAGGAACAAAAUGACGUGUACCUGAAGAAUAAGCAUCGGCUAACUCCGUGCCAGCAGCCGCGGUAAGACGGAGGAUGCAAGUGUUAUCCGGAAUCACUGGGCGUAAAGCGUCUGUAGGUGGUCAAAUAAGUCAACUGUUAAAUCUUGAGGCUUAACCUCGAAAUCGCAGUCGAAACUAUUAGACUAGAGUAUAGUAGGGGUAAAGGGAAUUUCCAGUGGAGCGGUGAAAUGCGUAGAGAUUGGAAAGAACACCGAAUGGCGAAGGCACUU